rnacentral:rRNA from 1 species
AUUGAACGCUGGCGGCAUGCCUUACACAUGCAAGUCGAACGGUAACAGGUUAAGCUGACGAGUGGCGAACGGGUGAGUAAUGUAUCGGAACGUGCCCAGUCGUGGGGGAUAACUACUCGAAAGAGUGGCUAAUACCGCAUACGACCUGAGGGUGAAAGCGGGGGACCGUAAGGCCUCGCGCGAUUGGAGCGGCCGAUAUCAGAUUAGCUAGUUGGUGGGGUAAAAGCCCACCAAGGCGACGAUCUGUGGCUGGUCUGAGAGGACGACCAGCCACACUGGGACUGAGACACGGCCCAGACUCGUACGGGAGGCAGCAGUGGGGAAUUUUGGACAAUGGACGCAAGUCUGAUCCAGCCAUGCCGCGUGCGGGAAGAAGGCCUUCGGGUUGUAAACCGCUUUUGUCAGGGAAGAAACGAGUUUCUCUAAUACAGAGACUUAAUGACGGUACCUGAAGAAUAAGCACCGGCUAACUACGUGCCAGCCGCCGCCGUAAAAC